UACAGAGGGUGCAAGCGUUAAUCGGAAUUACUGGGCGUAAAGCGUGCGUAGACGGUUAUGUAAGUCAGAUGUGAAAGCCCCGGGCUUAACCUGGGAAUGGCAUUUGAGACUGCAUAGCUAGGGUGCGGAAGAGGGAAGCGGAAUUUCCGGUGUAGCGGUGAAAUGCGUAGAUAUCGGAAGGAACACCAGUGGCGAAAGCGGCUUCCUGGACCAAUACUGACGCUCAUGUGCGAAAGCGUGGGGAGCAAACAGG
rnacentral:rRNA from 1 species